rnacentral:ncRNA from 1 species
CGUUUACUGUCUCUGAUUUCUGCCCAGUGCUCUGAAUGUUAAAUCGUAGUAAUUCGAGUAAGCGCGGGUAAACGGCGGGAGUAACUAUGACUCUCUUAAGGUAGCCAAAUGCCUCGUCAGCUAACUACUGACGCGCAUGGUCCUCAUAGCUGCCACCUCCACGU